GAUGAACGCUGGCGGCGUGCCUAAUACAUGCAAGUCGAGCGAACAGAUGAGGAGCUUGCUCCUCUGACGUUAGCGGCGGACGGGUGAGUAACACGUGGAUAACCUACCUAUAAGACUGGGAUAACUUCGGGAAACCGGAGCUAAUACCGGAUAAUAUAUUGAACCGCAUGGUUCAAUAGUGAAAGACGGUUUUGCUGUCACUUAUAGAUGGAUCCGCGCCGCAUUAGCUAGUUGGUAAGGUAACGGCUUACCAAGGCGACGAUGCGUAGCCGACCUGAGAGGGUGAUCGGCCACACUGGAACUGAGACACGGUCCAGACUCCUACGGGAGGCAGCAGUAGGGAAUCUUCCGCAAUGGGCGAAAGCCUGACGGAGCAACGCCGCGUGAGUGAUGAAGGUCUUCGGAUCGUAAAACUCUGUUAUUAGGGAAGAACAAAUGUGUAAGUAACUAUGCAUGUCUUGACGGUACCUAAUCAGAAAGCCACGGCUAACUACGUG
rnacentral:rRNA from 1 species